GAUGAACGCUAGCGGCAGGCCUAACACAUGCAAGUCGAGGGGUAGAAGGAGCUUGCUCCUUUGAGACCGGCGCACGGGUGCGUAACGCGUAUGCAAUCUACCUUGUACAGGGGAAUAGCCCAGAGAAAUUUGGAUUAAUGCCCCAUAGUAUAUAACCUUCGCAUGUUGGUUAUAUUAAAGUUCCAACGGUACAAGAUGAGCAUGCGUCCCAUUAGUUAGUUGGUAAGGUAACGGCUUACCAAGACGAUGAUGGGUAGGGGUCCUGAGAGGGAGAUCCCCCACACUGGUACUGAGACACGGACCAGACUCCUACGGGAGGCAGCAGUGAGGAAUAUUGGUCAAUGGUCGCAAGACUGAACCAGCCAUGCCGCGUGCAGGAAGACGGUCCUAUGGAUUGUAAACUGCUUUUAUACAGGAAGAAACCCUCCCACGUGUGGGAGCUUGACGGUACUGUAGGAAUAAGGAUCGGCGAACUCCGU
rnacentral:rRNA from 1 species